rnacentral:rRNA from 1 species
UACGUAGGGGGCAAGCGUUAUCCGGAUUUACUGGGUGUAAAGGGAGCGCAGGCGGCAGAGCAAGUCAGAUGUGAAAACCCGGGGCCCAACCCCGGGCCUGCAUUUGAAACUGCUUGGCUAGAGUCUAAGAGGGGUAGGCGGAAUUCCUGGUGUAGCGGUGAAAUGCGUAGAUAUCAGGAGGAACACCGGUGGCGAAGGCGGCCUACUGGAUUAGUACUGACGCUGAGGCUCGAAAGCGUGGGGAGCAAAC